rnacentral:rRNA from 1 species
UACGUAGGGGGCUAGCGUUGUCCGGAAUCAUUGGGCGUAAAGAGCGUGUAGGCGGCUCGAUAAGUCCGCUGUGAAAGUCCAGGGCUCAACCCUGGGAUGCCGGUGGAUACUGUCGGGCUCGAGUCCGGAAGAGGCGAGUGGAAUUCCUGGUGUAGCGGUGAAAUGCGCAGAUAUCAGGAGGAACACCAAUGGCGAAGGCAGCUCGCUGGGACGUGACUGACGCUGAGGCGCGAAAGCGUGGGGAGCGAACAGG